GGCGGAUGGAUAAGUCAGAUGUGAAAUUCCGAAACUCAAUUUCGGGACUGCAUUUGAAACUGUGUAUCUGGAGGAUUGACGGAGAAAACGGAAUUCCACGUGUAGCGGUGAAAUGCGUAGAUAUGUGGAAGAACACCUGUGGCGAAAGCGGUUUUCUAGUUUAUACCUGACGCUGAGGCGCGAGAGCAAGGGGAGCAAACAGGAUUAGAUACCCUGGUAGUCCUUGCCGUAAACUAUGUAUACUUGGUGUAGAUGGAUUCAACCCUAUCUGUGCUGUAGCUAACGCGUUAAGUAUACCGCCUGGGAAGUACAGUCGCAAGGCUGAAACUCAAAAGAAUUGACGGGGACCCGCACAAGCAGUGGAGCAUGUGGUCUAAUUCGAUGCAACGCGAAGAACCUUACCCAGGCUUGACAUGCAGAUGACGACACUAGAAAUAGUGUCUUCCCUCGGGACAUCUGCACAGGUGCUGCAUGGCUGUCGUCAGCUCGUGCCGUGAGGUGUUGGGUUAAGUCCCGCAACGAGCGCAACCCUUAUCAUUAGUUGCCAACAGGUGAAGCUGGGAACUCUAAUGAGACUGCCUGGGUUAACCAGGAGGAAGGUGAGGAUGACGUCAAGUCCGCAUGGCCCUUAUGUCUGGGGCUACACACGUGCUACAAUGGUCGGUACAAAAGGCAGCGAAACCGCGAGGUGAAGCAAAUCCGAUAAAGCCGAUCUCAGUUCAGAUUGUAGUCUGCAACUCGACUACAUGAAGACGGAAUUGCUAGUAAUGGCGAGU
rnacentral:rRNA from 1 species